UCAAGACUCCAUGCGGCUGGAUUGCUUGGCGUUGCGUGGAGAUGUGGGGUGUCUCGGUAUCUUCUACCGCAUUUACCAUGGAGAGUAUUCAGAGGAGUUGUUCGGUCCUGCAGCUGAGUUUGAUUACCGACAUAAUGUGUAACAUUUACUAAAGUGACUUUGAAAGAGACGCCGCAUACCAAGCGAUUAUUCAGACAAAGUCCUUUACGGAAUUUACCUAAAGGUGGAAAAAGAUCUUUGGUAAAAGAUCUUCAUCCGAUCAAUGACUUGGAAUUCAGAUGUCAACAUACUCACCCACAGGCGUGUUAAGGGUUAUUUUCCAGGGGUCAGGGGGUCUCCAGGGGGGAAGAAUCGCAGUGUUUAAGAAACUAAAAUACCAUGCCAUGGUCUACGAAAUCAAGCGUCACGGGGACCCCUUUUUCUACGCAUAUGUUAAGUCAGCCCUCAUUCAUUCACGU